UGGGGAAUAUUGGACAAUGGGCGCAAGCCUGAUCCAGCCAUGCCGCGUGAGUGAUGAAGGCCCUAGGGUUGUAAAGCUCUUUCACCGGUGAAGAUAAUGACGGUAACCGGAGAAGAAGCCCCGGCUAACUUCGUGCCAGCAGCCGCGGUAAUACGAAGGGGGCUAGCGUUGUUCGGAUUUACUGGGCGUAAAGCGCACGUAGGCGGACUUUUAAGUCAGGGGUGAAAUCCCGGGGAUCAACCCCGGAACUGCCUUUGAUACUGGAAGUCUUGAGUAUGGUAGAGGUGAGUGGAAUUCCGAGUGUAGAGGUGAAAUUCGUAGAUAUUCGGAGGAACACCAGUGGCGAAGGCAGCUCACUGGACCAUUACUGACGCUGAGGUGCGAAAGCGUGGGGAGCAAACAGG
rnacentral:rRNA from 1 species